GAAAUAGCUUCGAACUUGCUUCGGACAGCCGUUGUGCUCCCGGUAACAUUUUACAAUUUUACCCUCAACUUAUAUCAAUUUCGCGCUUAAUCCUGCUCGGAAUUCAUUUCUCUUUUCAGUAACUCUGUCCUUUCCAAGAUCCGUCGUUCGAGCAGAAAGAUUUUAGGAUUCAACCAUAGAGUCUCCAACAUGGAGUGUAGCAUUUCGCUCGAUUCGAAGAACUACGGUGUUGGAGCUAGUCAAAACAUGGAAAUAGCUGGAGUGAAAACGAUGAAGAGCUCCAAAGUAGGAGGCGCCCAGAGGAAACGGCUUUCCGAUAUAAGCAACUUGAAGGAGCAACCUGUACUGCAGAAGCGAGAUACGACGCAGCAGUCUAGUUUGCUUAAGACCUAUGAAUAUGUUGAUAAGUUACAGAAGGAAAAUAUGGCACUUACGAAAGUUCUUGCAGAAAGAAAUCAUAUAAUUGAGAUAAGUAGAAAUGAGUUAGAGACAUUGAGAACCAAUUUUCAGAAAUUGCAGCAGCAGAAUCUGCAAUUCGCCCAAGCAAACAGUCAAAUGUUUGCGGAACUUAAUUCAGGUAAAGAAAGGCUGAAAGCCCUUCAACACGAGCUUGGAUGUAAAAAUGGCAUUCUUAUGUCGAGAAAAUCUGAUUUGGAGAGAAAAGGAAAAGCAGUGACAUUUCAGCCUGGAGGGGUAGGGACCGCCGAGUGUAGUGAGGCAGUGGAAUCUAUGAAUACAAAUGAGGGUAAUAGGCCUUGCAAAACUAACAGGCGACGACAAUCCAGAAAAGAAUCUUUUGGCACUUCAGUUCUUCAGACAGAGGUUCACAAGGUUGAAAGCAAAAGGCCUAGAAGGCAAUCUGCAAGAUUCAAAACCGAGGAACCAGUGGCUGCAAACCACAUCUUGGAGACAGAUAAUUCCAAUUCUAAUGAUGCUUUGCAAUGUAAAGAGACUUCAGUUCGUCGAGCAGAGGUUCAAAAGGUCGAAGGCAAGAGGCCUUGUUCGAGAAGGCAGUCUGCAAGAUUGAAAAAUGAGGAACCGGUUGCUACAAAUGACUUAUUAGGGAUAGAAAAUUUCAAUUCUACCGAUGCUUCUCAAUGUAGAGAAACUUCAGUUCUUCAAACAGAGGUCCAGAAGGGUGAAGGCAUAAGCAGGCCUUGUCUGAGAAGGCAGUCUGCAAGAUUCAAACUCGAGGAACCAGUGGCUAUCAAAGACUCACUUGAUACUGUAAAUUCCAAUUCUACCAGUGCUUCUCUAUGCAACGAGAUCGUAUGUGAAGUAAAAAUUGUUCCAACUUCAUCAGUAGAAACAGAAGAUAAUGGCAAUUCUACUGAUAGAUCUGAAGUUCAAGAACGUCGGAGGACAUCCGUUGGUAGGCCGUUAAGGCGAGCCGCUGAAAAAAUUCAGUCCUACAAGGAAAUUCCACUUAACGUCAAGAUGCGCAGACCGUGAAAAGGAAUGAGAAAAUAAGAGAGGAAUGCCAACAAUUUUCCUCUGUCAAUAGCAAAAAUCAACGGAGAAGCUCCUUUCUAUCUUCUUCUUCUUCAUCAAAUUCAUCCGAAUUGGUCACUGCAAUUCAAUUAAUGGAGGCUGAUUGCACAUCUUUGAGCUGGGAAUUCUGCACUCAUCAAGAUGGAAUGGAAGAGCUUAGGUAUGCUCUUUUCUACACGAAUUUGGAGCUUGAAACAACAAUAAUGUCAGCUAAGGAGGAGAUUUUGAGGAGAGAAUGUGAAAUUAUGAACUUGAGGGAUCUUCUCGAUAGAGCCAUUAAAGAGAAAGAUGAAUUUGAAGCAAAAUGUGGUAAGCUAAUGUUGGAAAAUUUGUUUCUGCUUGAACAGCACAAGAAUCAGGAACUUGAUAUCACUCCACAAAGUGAUAGUGACUCUAGCAAGAUCUUUGAUUGUUCUGAUUCUGAUGAUAACGCAACUCAAUCUCCACAAACUGACCCGAUUGUGGGAGAGCCAUUGUUAUUAAAAGAUCUCCCACCAACUGUUUGUAAAAAUGCCUGUGAGAAUGAGAAGCCACUGUUAUGUCAAGAACUCCCACCAACUGUUUGUAAAAAUGCCUGUGAGAAUGAGAAGCCAUUGUUAUGUCAAGAACUCCCACCAACUGUUUCUAAAAAUGCCUGUGAGAAUGAGAAGCCAUUGUUAUGUCAGGAACUCCCACCAACUGUUUGUAAAAAUGCUUGUGAGAAUGAGAAGCCAUUGUUAUCUCAAGAACUCCCACCAACUGUUUGUAAAAAUGCCUAUGAGAAUGAGAAGCCAAUGUUAUCUCAAGAACUCCCACCAACUGUUUGUAAAAAUGCCUGUGAGAAUGAGAAGCCAUUGUUAUCCCAAGAACACCCACCAACUGUUUGGAAAAAUGCGUGUGAGAAUGAGAUGCCAUUGUUAUCUCAAGAACUCCCACCAACUGUCCAUAAAAAUGCCUGUGAGAACGAGAAGCCAUUGUUAUCUCAAGAACCCCCCUCAAGUGUUUGGAAAAACGCCUGUGACACGCCAUUGCCACAGAAAGGCAAGCUUCUACAGGCAGUGAUUGAAGCUGGCCCUCUUCUCCAGAAUCUCCUCCUUGCCGGGCCACUGCCUCAUUGGCAGCACCCGCCACUGCUCAUCGACUCAAGCGACAUCCCACCGGUGAUCAUCUCAUCUCGCCCUUCACGGCCCCCAGCUCAAAGCUCUGCCAUUGACAUUAGAAAGAGAACCCAAUCACAUCUCUCUGACGUCUCUCAACAUUCCCAGAAGCAUCAAAAAGUGGCCCAGUAACAGUCCAAGUAACUCUGAUCCCUCAUUCUCUCUACUUCUUUUCAAUACCCAUCUACUGAAUUACUGUCAUCUUUUUUUCUUUGUGCUGUGACUGUGAGAUGUAUAAUCUGGAGAUUGUUUGUUCCAUUCUCUUUCAAAUCACAGUUACACCCAACAAAAAAACUGGGUGAAUUCUCAUUCACUUCGUUCCAAAAAUCAAGUACAAAGUACUUUGAAC